CAAGGAAUAGUUUAUAUAAAAAUAUUAAUUUUGGAGAUUAAAGAUAAUUUAUGUUUUCCUUGA
rnacentral:tRNA from 1 species